rfam:Ixodes scapularis strain Wikel colony gcontig_1108379124434, whole genome shotgun sequence.
GCAGUUGUGGCCGAGUGGUUAAGGCAAUGGACUAGAAAUUCAUUGGGGUCUCCCCGCACAGGUUGCAAUCCUGUAGACUGCG